GAACAUAUAUUAUAUUUAGUAAUUUUAAUUGCAAAUUAAAAGGGUUUUUUGUUCC
rnacentral:tRNA from 1 species